rnacentral:rRNA from 1 species
AAAUUGAAGAGUUUGAUCAUGGCUCAGAUUGAACGCUGGCGGCAGGCCUAACACAUGCAAGUCGAGCGGUAGCACAGAGAGCUUGCUCUCGGGUGACGAGCGGCGGACGGGUGAGUAAUGUCUGGGAAACUGCCUGAUGGAGGGGGAUAACUACUGGAAACGGUAGCUAAUACCGCAUAACGUCGCAAGACCAAAGUGGGGGACCUUCGGGCCUCAUGCCAUCAGAUGUGCCCAGAUGGGAUUAGCUAGUAGGUGGGGUAACGGCUCACCUAGGCGACGAUCCCUAGCUGGUCUGAGAGGAUGACCAGCCACACUGGAACUGAGACACGGUCCAGACUCCUACGGGAGGCAGCAGUGGGGAAUAUUGCACAAUGGGCGCAAGCCUGAUGCAGCCAUGCCGCGUGUGUGAAGAAGGCCUUCGGGUUGUAAAGCACUUUCAGCGGGGAGGAAGGCGUUAAGGUUAAUAACCUUGGCGAUUGACGUUACCCGCAGAAGAAGCACCGGCUAACUCCGUGCCAGCAGCCGCGGUAAUACGGAGGGUGCAAGCGUUAAUCGGAAUUACUGGGCGUAAAGCGCACGCAGGCGGUCUGUCAAGUCGGAUGUGAAAUCCCCGGGCUCAACCUGGGAACUGCAUUCGAAACUGGCAGGCUAGAGUCUUGUAGAGGGGGGUAGAAUUCCAGGUGUAGCGGUGAAAUGCGUAGAGAUCUGGAGGAAUACCGGUGGCGAAGGCGGCCCCCUGGACAAAGACUGACGCUCAGGUGCGAAAGCGUGGGGAGCAAACAGGAUUAGAUACCCUGGUAGUCCACGCCGUAAACGAUGUCGAUUUGGAGGUUGUGCCCUUGAGGCGUGGCUUCCGGAGCUAACGCGUUAAAUCGACCGCCUGGGGAGUACGGCCGCAAGGUUAAAACUCAAAUGAAUUGACGGGGGCCCGCACAAGCGGUGGAGCAUGUGGUUUAAUUCGAUGCAACGCGAAGAACCUUACCUGGUCUUGACAUCCACAGAACUUUCCAGAGAUGGAUUGGUGCCUUCGGGAACUGUGAGACAGGUGCUGCAUGGCUGUCGUCAGCUCGUGUUGUGAAAUGUUGGGUUAAGUCCCGCAACGAGCGCAACCCUUAUCCUUUGUUGCCAGCGGUCGGCCGGGAACUCAAAGGAGACUGCCAGUGAUAAACUGGAGGAAGGUGGGGAUGACGUCAAGUCAUCAUGGCCCUUACGACCAGGGCUACACACGUGCUACAAUGGCAUAUACAAAGAGAAGCGACCUCGCGAGAGCAAGCGGACCUCAUAAAGUAUGUCGUAGUCCGGAUUGGAGUCUGCAACUCGACUCCAUGAAGUCGGAAUCGCUAGUAAUCGUAGAUCAGAAUGCUACGGUGAAUACGUUCCCGGGCCUUGUACACACCGCCCGUCACACCAUGGGAGUGGGUUGCAAAAGAAGUAGGUAGCUUAACCUUCGGGAGGGCGCUUACCACUUUGUGAUUCAUGACUGGGGUGAAGUCGUAACAAGGUAACCGUAGGGGAACCUGCGGUUGGAUCACCUCCUUACCUUAAAGAA